rnacentral:lncRNA from 1 species
AUCCCUUUGUUGGAGAAGGAAUUAUGGAUUGUUAUUGCCUUAAAGACAAAAUCAUACACACGAAGGGAGCUCUUGGUUCUUGUGCUUCACUGUGUAUAUUAUACAUUGUUUUUGGGAGAUGAGGCACUUAAUCAUCCACCUGUACUUAUAUCGUGAGGAUGUUAUAAUGUACCAAUCCGAAGUACUCAAUGUCACAUGAAAAUUUCUCCAGACUUCUUCCUCCAACAUCCAAAGGAUCGGCGUAAUUUUUAAACAUUAGUAGAAUAAAUGAAAAGAUGUCUCCAUUUUUUCCGUAAAUAUAACCAUUUAUCUACUUCAGAUCUUCAAGGGACUUGUUUGUAAAAAUACAAGACGUCCCCAGUAUGUAUCUCUGCCAUUUUUGAAGUGUGUCAGUUAAUGGGUUCUUUUGGAUCUGUAUGCUCCAUUCCAUUGCUAAUACCAAGCCAUUAAAACCUUCAUCUUGUGAUUGAUGAGGGGUCUUUCUCUUCAAGAUCAAUAUUAACAGUCGAAGCUCGGAGCUUGCCUUAUCAUUUUGUUAGGAACGACUUCUAAUGCAAUGAUACCAAGGAUCGAAGGACCGCGAUAAUUCGUUCUGAAAUCUUGUCCAGAGAAUAUCCGCCGUGCUCUAUAGGAUAUAAGGAAGUUAUUCAACACGGGGGUCCCAUCUGAUAUAUAUGUAUUGGUCUGCUGAAGUAAUCCCUACACAAAAAGGAACUCACUCCAGUUGUUCAGCCAAGGAUUAUAAUUAAGUGGUUCUUUUGACCUUAGUAAAAGGAUGACAUUCUUUAUGAUAGAGCUCCAUACUAAACACAUCUUCCUACAAUAAUGACCCCAUCUUUUCACCACUCCAAACAAUUCAAAUGGACCCAUAAAGAUCUAUUCAGCAAAUUGAAAACCAAUCAGUAGCUAAAAUUUUGUUUUGAUUUUAAUUGCCCAAUUAUCCACCAGAGCUUAUGAGUAGUUUUAACCACGAGAGAUUCAGUGCCUUCUAUGUGUGUAGAAACAAGAUCCCUGUAAGUUGUUCGAGCAUUAAUCCUCGACCUUGAAACGUUUGCAUUUGCAUGCCCCCAUACUAAAUAUUUCCUUAACUUAUAUAUGUUCUCACAUAUCAUCAUUGAAAAGGGCACUUAUCUCAGCAGAUGGAAUGUUUUUGGGAGGAAAUUGAUAUCCCAGGCCUUCAAUUUUUCAACUCUAGUCAGUAGGCUAGAAACUUCAAUACCUAGGAGUGAGAAAGACUUAACAAAACAUCGCUUGCUAGGUCCAUCAUAUGUCUUAAGAUAGUUGUCACAGUUGGAUAGUCUUCUCGAUGUUGAUGAAGAGACCUAACAUUUUUUUUUGUGAAUCCUGAAUGACUUCAAUGGCUUGGGAGAUGGAAUAUGUCGGAUUUUCUUGUGUUCCUGUUAGAAAUAAUGCCGGAGUUGUAGUAAACAAUCUCGUUCAAUCCAUUCAUUGCGAUGAGAAAGAGGGAUGGCGAUAACAAAUCUCAUUGCCAAGCUCCACGCUGAAUGCAAAACUUAAAAUGAGCACCGGGAAUGACAAUGCUCUACGAUGACUUCUUAAGGAUGACCGAUACCAUGUUAACAAACCCAUCCGGCAGUUCAUACCUAUAUAGCUGUUCAACAAUGAAUUUGUGUGAGACAGUAUCGAAUGCCUUUACGAAGUUGGAAAACAUUGUAGAGUACCAUGAUGAUGCACAUAAGUAUAUACCAUCUUGUAUACAGCGUGGUUUAUCCUUUAGCAGGCCUUACUCCAUAAAUCCUUUCUGAUCUAUUCAUAUAAGGUAUAGGAGAAUCUGGGAAAGUCUUCAAUUCAA